rnacentral:rRNA from 1 species
GAUGAACGCUGGCGGCGUGCCUAAUACAUGCAAGUCGAGCGAACGGACGAGAAGCUUUCCUCUCUGAUGUUAGCGGCGGGCGGGUGAGUAACACGUGGAUAACCCACCUAUAAGACUGGGAUAACUUCGGGAAACCGGAGCUAAUACCGGAUAAUAUUUUGAACCGCAUGGAUCAAAAGUGAAAGACGUUCUUGCUGUCACUUAUAGAUGGAUCCGCGCUGCAUUAGCUAGUUGGUAAGGUAACGGCUUACCAAGGCAACGAUGCAUAGCCGAUCUGAGAGGGUGAUCAGCCACACUGGAACUGAGACACGGUCCAGACUCCUACGGGAGGCAGCAGUAGGGAAUCUUCCACAAUGGGCGAAAGCCUGACGGAGCAACGCCGCGUGAGUGAUGAAGGUCUUCGGAUCGUAAAGCUCUGUUAUUAGGGAAGAACAUAUGUGUAAGUAACUGUGCACAUCUUGACGGUACCUGAUCAGAAAGCCCCGGCUAACUCCGUG